rnacentral:ncRNA from 2 species
CUUGGUUUCAACCUCCGAGCCCCUCUUCCUAAGGGCAUCGCCUAAGGAAUCGGGCCAUCGGGCGUGCCUGGAAACGGGACCGCCUCCCGCUUGGAAAGGGGGUUCCGGUGUGCCGUU